GCUGGGAGCGCGGGGCUGCAGCUCCACGCGCCGCGGAGCCCGGGCACGGCGCGGCUCCCCCCUCCCGCGCCCCAUCCUUCGCGCUGCCCGGUGUCGCCCAUGCUGCAGGCGGGCCCCGCCGCCCCCCCGUCACCCUCCAGGAGCAGGUGAGCCACUGACUAACGCACAUUGUGCUCUCGGCGACUCCACUGUGCGUGUGACAGCGGCUAACCUGCUCCUCGGACAUCACUGUGCGGCCGCCUCGCCUGCCCGGACCCGCGCCUCGAAGCCUCGACGCGCUCCUGCCCUCUCGGCCAGCCAGCCCUGCGUUUGGGACUGUGCUGGCUGAGGAGUUGACCCCAGGAGAUGCCGCUGGCAGGAGCAGCUCUGCAGGUCGCCUGGCAAGGCCUGUCCCAGUUCCCAUGAGCAGCACCAUGGUGUGGAUGCUCCCGACUUCCUGCUACCGAUGGAACCAUCCUGUUCAGCUCCACUCUUCUUGGAAGGAAGGGAACAGGCCUUACCGUUCAAGCACCACACUAAGAAGUCUUCUGUCCAUAACAUGUGCCAGUGUCAGGGCAAGGUAGAAGGCAGUCAGUCUGCACUCUGAGAUGGAGAAUGAAAAAUCAUCUUAGGAGAGCAGACAAUGUUCCCUGCAUGGACACACACGCCAGUUCAAACAGCUCUUCUUCAUCUGCAGUGAACUAUGCUGGGAGAAGCUGUGCAGCCAGGAGCAAGCAGCAGAGCAUCUGUACACCACUUGGGGAGCAAAACCAACAGGCAUUUUCUCCUCCAGACAUUCACACCUUUCCUUAUGUAACUGGUGCUGAAGUGUGUGCUUUAAAAGCUGCUUGCCAAAUCCAGGGGCUGGGAGGCAGCACAAAUGCUUCUAGCACUCUAGAUGAAAUUGAGGGGGGAAAAAAAAACCCCAAACCCAAACACCCAGGAACUCGUACAAAUACGUAACUGUAAUUUGGGGAUGGUUCAAGUGUCUGCAGCAGUGUUGCCCUGAAGAAACUGCACUGGCCUGGGGCAGUGCUGGCACCCAGACCACCAUUUGAUGAGGAUGGUGAGGAGCUGACUGUCCAGGAUAGAGGGGUGAGGAGCUGGGGGCCAUUUUUCUUACACAAUAUUAAAAAACCCCAAAAACUAAAAAAAAAAUCAGGUAGUGCAGCCAGGAAAAGGGCGCCAGGGAGGCUGGAGGUGGCUGAAAUACUCUUCUGAAUGGUGCCUUGUGCUGGCAGAACCUGCAGAUUUAUUAAAAAAAAACCAAAAAACAAACCCAACAAAAAUGCAGGACUGCUCACCAGUGAAAAACAGGUAUAUCCUUCACUUUGUGACUUUUGGGUGGCACUAGAGCUAGCCAGGAGAAGCAUCUGAGGAGAGAGAAGCUCUGAAGUCCAUUCCUGCCCACUCCAGGGAAGGAAGAAGCUGCCCACAGCGCCUGAGGGACAUGGGGACACGAGUCCCUGCGCAGGCAGCACAGCAUCCUCGAGCCACCCUGCACGCUUGGAUCCCUGCCUUGCCUGCAAGCCAGUUGUUCCCUCUCCAGUACGCGCCGUACGCAGGGCUGCUGGUUUGUUUUUUAAGGGAAAAAAAUAAUUUAUUUGCUUUGUUUUAAUCUCAUAACAAUGGGUAAUGGUAAUUUCUUCCUACCACUCUGUAGUGGCCUAGAAAAGGACAGCAUCAUCUCCACUGUAGCAAGAAGGCUUGUCCCAGGGCAUAAAAUUUUAAUUAGGAACAAUCACGCAGCCUUGAAAUGGGAAUUGCGAGCAGCAAAAAAGUCAAACCAUCAAUAAAAUAUUCAAUGGCAGAAAUGUAUUAUUGACACAGACUUUAGAGCAGCUAAAAGCGGGAAGGCGGGGGAGCGGGUAUUGAGCCUCGCUGCAUUAAAUAACAGGCAGGGACCCGCCCGGGCACAGGCCCCCCGAGCCGCAGGAAUAUAGGUCACCCUCGGAGGGGAGCUCCCGAGGUAACACAGGAGUUUGAUUACCACCUCUGCCCCACGUGCACCACAGCAGGGACGCAGUAAUCACAGCAGUUUAUUACCUCGUGAAACGCUGCUGGCCUAGGCAGCAGCUGGGUGAUGGUGGGUAGGACACCAAAUGAAGAAAAUGUGCAAAGAGCCAGUCUAGAGCUGCAAAGAGUUAACCCCUGGUCACAGCCCUCUCACUAGUCCCAUGCCUGGUUAUCAGUGGGGGACACAAUUGAUUUACUCUGUCUCCCACCCAUGCAACAGUUCCAAAUCCCGCAUGCCAGCCAAGGGGCAGCAGCUGAAGGGCCAAAUCUGCUGUGAUAUAUAUUUUAAAUCCUUA